rfam:Cucumis melo, WGS project CAJI01000000 data, contig: 19611
AAUAGAGAGAGAGAGCUUCCUUCAGUCCACUCAUAGAGGGAUUCAAAGGGGUUGCUGAAGUAACUGCCGACUCAUUCACUCAAACACUCAGUAGAACUCAAAAAGAAAUUAUCCAAGAAAAAGAAAAGAAAAUUUGGUUCAAAGUAUAUUCUUUUCCUCUAUUGUGAUUGUGUGAAUGAAGCGGGAGAUAUUUUGCACUCUCUCUUAUUCUUUGCUUGGACUGAAGGGAGCUCCUCCUUUUUACUUU